AGGUUUUUUUGGUCUGUGAAUGGGGUAGGAUCCGACGCCUCCUGAAGGCUACAUAGGCUCUCCUACCCAACUCCUAUUCUGGUAUGUCCAUACAGACCGUGCACAUGUAGCCCCGUUUAUCUGAGAUUGGGUAAACGGGUCCUAUCCCAACCCCUUGGGAGGAUGGAGUUGCAUGGCCAAGGCAGUAGGG
rnacentral:ribozyme from 1 species